AACGAAUCAUUCUAAGUGCCAGGCACUCUUCUAGGUCCUAGCUGCCCCUACCUUACGAUGGACGCUGGUCAUCUGGCGAGGACAGCAGAAGCCAGGAAUCCAGGAACCCAGGAAUUGCUGGAUCAUAGGGAGGGGCCAUUGUCUGGGUUCUGCUGUGUGGAGAAAAUGACUGAAAGCCCACAGGAGGGGAACACAUUGCUAUGAGGCUGGCUGUCCUGACGGAACUCGGCUCUGCCUUUUAAAGAUCCUGCCAGCUCCAAUUAUCACAGGCUGGAAACCAAACCUUCCACACAUGAGCAUUUGGAGUCCACGUCCAAACCACAGCAUUCAUGAAAGGGAAUUUCUGGCACAGCUCAUGCUCCUCAGCCCCCACCUCUUUGGAAAACCACACAGAACCUGGAUUCAGGAACCAAAACAGUGGGCAUGGGCGAGAAGGAAACUCAGUUCACUGGUCUUGCUAUGUAGUUCAGACUGGCCUCAAACUUACCAUGUAGCCCCCGGCUGGCCUUAAACUCACAGUGAUUCUCCUGCCUCAGCCUUUCAAGCAAUGGAAUUAUAGAAGUUUCCAGCAUAUUCCACCCUCCUCAAAUCCCAGAUCAUCUCUGACGGUCACACAGAACAUUUGUGUCCCUUUUCUUUGAACUGCCACCUGCUUUUGAUCCUAGGUUAUAGGAGCAGAUGCAGCCAUUUUGCACUUUUCUGAGAUGGCAGUAACCAGUCCUGCUCUGGAAGUCUGUGAGCAUAAUGCAGGAAGGACCUGGUGGCCCAAUAACUUGAAAAGACAGAAAUGAAAAGUCAGCAACAAGAUUUCUGUACCUGCGAAAGUGAAAUCCAAGUGCUUUCCCUAUUACUCCUGUUAAAUCCCACUAAAGCUCCUGAGCCUUAGGCAUAGAACAGCACAUAAAGACUUUGCAAGGUGAAAGGAAAGGCAGGCAAGUCCAGGCCUCAGGAACGUGCAUGCACACUCAUGGCCUCUAGCCCUGGCUCUGGAGAGGUCAGGAUCCCAGGAGUGUCAUGGCAGCAAACUCACAAAGCCAACAGCACAGAAAACUUCAGAAUAUAACUGCUUUGUACCACUCAAACACAAGGAGGGGAGCUGAGCUGAAACCAAAAGCCAUGACAACAAAGGCCAAGCAGGAAACCGGAGCCUCUAGCUCCCUCUGGGACUGGCAGGGCAGGGUGUUCUUUACCCUUUUGUUUAAGUCAGCUCAGAGCCAAAUAGGUAAAACAGAAAGCUCGAAACAAGGCCCAGGGUCUGAUGAUGUGAUCAAUAUGUGGUCAUAUUUCAGUAGAAAAAUGCUUAGCAAGAAACCAAAAUAUCUAACAUUUAACAAAAGCAAGAUGAUCAACAGAUGCCCACAAAAAGAAAAGAGAUUAUAAAGCAGCCAUGAUAAAAUGCUUCUAUGAACAACUAUGGACACACUAAAAACAUGAAACACAGUCCUAGCAAAGGAACAAUGUGAAGAACAACCAAAUAGAAAUUUUAGAGCUGAAAUAUACCAUAACAAAUGAAAUGCCCAGUGAAUGAAUGGUCUUAAAGGCCAAGUGUAGGGGCCAGAGGAGAUGAUGGGUAAACCAGAAACCAGGCAUAGGGUGCCACCUCUGAUCCCAGCACUUGGGAGGUUGAGUCAAGAGAGUCAUCACUAGAUCAAGACCAGCCUGGGCUAUAUAGUGAGUUCAAAGCCAGCCUGGAAUACAUAGGAAGAGCCUGUCUCAAAAAACAAGAACAAAACAAAGCAACAACAAAAGAAUCAGUAAACUCAAACAUAGAACAAAUUCAGCCAAGAUGAAUGACAGAGAAAAAGUACACCAGGAAAGAAAGAAAAACCUGGCCUCAGGGACCUGUGACACUGUAAAAAAAAAGAUCUAAUAUUUGUUUUGUCAGAGUCCCAGAAGGAGAAGAGAAAAGACAGUGAGAUUGAAACAUACUUAAAGAAAUAAUGCUGAAAAUGUCCCCAGUUUAGCAGCAGACAAAAACCUGGAAUUUUUUAGAUUCAAGAAGCUGAGCAAACACCAAGUAAAAUAAACCAAGGAAAUCUACACCAAGACACGUCAUAGUAAAACACCUGAAAACUAAAGACAAAUAAAAGUUCUUGAAAGUAUUGAGAAAGAAAUGGCAUGUUACUUACAAGACAAAAAGCAUUCAUGUGGCGGUAUAUGUUCCAUCAGACACCAGCAAUUCCAGAACAGAGGACGUGAUAUUUUUCAAGAUUAUUUCCAGUUCAAAUAAGCCACAGGGGGACAAGGAAAAGAAAACAGAAAAAGGAAAGCUGUGAUAACAGAACACAAAAGAGAAACAGCAGACUUAACUCCUAACAUAAUUAUUAUGCAAAUGGUCUAAAAUUACCCAUCCAAAUGUACACUCUGGCAUAAUAGACCACAUUAAAAAAAUUUAUUUCUAACUCAUAAAUCAAAUGUACAUAUCAAUGGUAUUAACAUGAGAAGUUGAUACAUGUAUAUUGCUCAAGGCUUAAAUCAGUUUAAAUAUAUCUAUCUCUUAAAACAUUUAUAGUGAAAAUUUCAAAAUUCUUUCUCCUAGCUAGCUUUUUUGGCAUGGUCAGCCAAUUAUGUGCACCCUGCUGUACAACAGCCCACUAGAACUUGCUUCCAUCUAACCACAAAUUAGUACCCACUGACUGAUUUUUCUUACCUUUCUUACCCCACCAUAAUCGCUGCCACCUUCCCUGGUCUCAUUUUAUCCUUAACAUUUUAAAUUACUCAUAAGAGUGAGAUCACACAAUACAAGACUUGUUUUUUUUUUUAUGUCUGGCUUACUUCACUUAACAUAAUUAUCUCCAGUUCCACCCAUGUUGUUGAUAGGAUUUUCUUAUUUAUGGCUCAGUAGUAUCCAUGGUGUAUAAGUACAUUUUCUUUAUACAUCAGAAUGGAUUUUUAAAAAGGACACAACUAUAUGUUGUCCCCAAAAAACUCACUGAAAAUACCAUUAUGCCCAAUGUAGAAAAUCCUGAGAAAGCUGCAAACAAAAGCAAAAAGCAAAAUUCAAAGCCUCCUCUACUGUAUAUGAUAAGUGAGCUCAGCAGGCCCUAGAAUACAAGAUCAACAGACAAAAAUCAAUCAUAAUUAUUUUCAUAAACUCAACAUUAUCGUGUGGAAACUGAAAUUAAAAAGCACAUGACAUUUACAGUUAGUUAAAAGAAACAAAAGUGUACAUCUGACAAACCAUGUGCAGGAUUUUAUGCUGAAAUAUUUCGACCUUGAUAAAAUAAAUCAAACAGAACUAAAUUAAUUGGUGGCUAUACCAUGUUCAUGGAUUGAACAUUUUGGAUUUGUUUUGUUUUUGUGAUAUUGGGGAUUGAACCCAGGACUUUCACACUGAGUUACAUACCCAGCCCUUUUUACUUUUUAUUGUCACUAAGUUGCCCAGGCUGGCCUCAAAAUUGUGAUCUUCCUGCCUCAACCUCCCACAGGCUAGAAUACUUAACAGUAAAAAUGACAAUUCUGAUGAAAUUGAUAUAUGUGUUUGAUAAAUUUCCUAUCAAAAUCUCAGCCAGAUAUUUUGACAAAUAUAAAGAUUAUUCCAGAAUUUGUAUUGAAAGGUAAAGAAACUAGAACAGCUAAAUCAACCUUAUAAAGGAAUAAGAAAACAGAAGGAAAUGGUCCGUCCCAUUUUAAGGUUUACCAGAUAGUUUCAGUAAUGAAGAUUGUGUGGUUCUGGAGGAAUUGACACAGAUCAUUGGAGCAGAAUAGAGAACCAGAAAAAGAUUCACAGCAGAAAAACAGAAUUUUGGCGAAGGUGCAGAAACAGUUGAAGGAAAGAGCAUCAGCUUUUCAAUAGACCAUGAACGUGCAGCUUGGUGCAUACAGAUAAACAAGCGCACCUUGACCUGAACUUACUCCUUCUACAAAAAUUCAGUCUAAAUGGGUUAUAGAAGUAACAUAAAGUGCAGACUACAGAAAAGAACCAGAGGAAAUCUUCAGAUGUUGAACUAAACGAGACUUCUUUAACCUGACACCAAAAGAAUGAUCCAUAAGAGGAAAAACUGAUACACUGGGUCUUACCAAAGUUGGAAUGUUUCCUUUGCAAAAGACCCAGGUAAGAGAAUGAAAAGUUGGGCUAUGCAUGAAGAAAAUAUUUGACCAGUCUACAAUAAUUCAAAAACUCUCAAGACAAAACAGUAAAAGAACAAUUAGGAGACAUUUCCCUGAAUAGGACACAGAGAUGACAAACAAGCACAUGGAAAGAAAGUCAUCACCAUUAGCCAUCAGGCAAAACAAAAUAAAACCACAAGGACACACUGAACAAAGGGGCUAAUUUUUUCUAAGUGGUGAAAAUAUUUAAUGCCAACAAGAAUGCUUAGAAACUGGCUCUCUCACACAUUGCUGGUGGGAAUGUACACUGGCACAGCCACUUUGGAAAGCAUCUUACUGGUAAAUAAACUUACCAUGUUUUUUAAAAUAAACUUGCCAUUUCUAUGUAGCCCAACGACUGCACUUCCAGGCUUUCAGCUCCAGAGAAAUGAAGACUUAUGUCUACACAGACGCCAGUCCGUGGAUGUCCAUAGCAGCUGUAUAAGGCUAGCCACAAACUGAAAACAGCCCAGGUAUGCUUCAGGGGUGUUAAAGUGCUGCACCUGGAGCCUGGAGCCCUCCGCACAACAACCCAGAUUUAUGCUGAAUACAAGGUGUGAAUGCCAAAA